UCUGUGGGAGGGCGCAUAUAAAAUGUUAAAUUUUCCGUAAUUUACGCAAUAUUAUCACAUGAAACACGAUCAAUAAAUAAAUACUUCAAUAUUGCAAUAUUAGGUUUAGUAAUUAAAAAUUAGUUUAUAGAAAUGAUCAAAUUUUCAAUAAGAAACAUGUGUCCAGCCGGCAAGCAAGCACUUACUUGUUUUUUACUGUCUGCAACUGUGUUUGUGGUAUCAUUCUUCUCUGGAAAUGUACUUGGCUUCUCGGCGGAGCUCUGGGCCCUCAGGUUUUGGGGCCCCGCGCUCUACUUUUGCCUUUUUAACUUCAUUUUGAGGUACAUGUACAAAGGCUUCACAUACGAGGUGUCAAUACGAUCUGCAUUUCUUGGGGCCGCUUUUUCGUCUGGACUUUUCCUUUCGACUUUCGACAACGGAUGGCGGGUGUUUGGACUGUACAUAAUGAUUCUGACAUUCUUCCAUUUCUCAGAGUUCAUGUCUGUGGCUCUGACAAAUCCAAGGACUCUGUCGAUUGACUCAUUCAUAUUGAAUCACAGUGUGCAGUACGGAUUGGCUGCGGUGGCUAGUUGGACGGAGUGGGGGCUUGAAUAUUACUUCUUUCCUGGCAUGAAGACCUAUUUCUGGCUGUCGUACGUAGGAGUGUUGAUGUGCAUAGGAGGAGAGGUACUCAGGAAGUCCGCCAUGUUCACAGCCAAAACCAACUUUAAUCACACCGUUCAGUAUGUGAAGCAGCCGGAUCACCAGCUGGUCACGCACGGUGUGUACGGCGUAUGUCGGCAUCCGAGCUAUGUGGGGUGGUUCUACUGGUCCAUAGGCACGCAGAUAACCUUACUAAACCCAGUAUGCAUGCUGGUGUACACACUGGCAUCGUGGACGUUCUUCCGCGAGCGGGUGUACGCUGAAGAACUUACCCUGCUCACCUUCUUCGGGCAGCAGUACGUGCAGUACCAGUCGCGGGUCGGGACUGGUCUUCCUCUUAUACCAGGAUAUGUGCCUGAUAACACUCAACAAACUCUUCGCCCGGACCACUGGAGCUAUUGAUACGUGACUUUCAGAUUGGAAGAAACGAACGUGGCGUGUCAGGAGUCACCUACCCCAACGGGAAAUAGGCGUGAACUUAUGUAAAUAUGUACACAUAUCUACACAUAAAUAAACUCACGCCCGCUCUCCACGAAGGGGUGGGCAGAGACAAAUAAGCAGAAGACUAUUUGGCUGCAAAUCAGGAAACAUACGGUGACAGGGAAUCAGUCCAUAUAAUGUUAGAAAGUACUCACCCGCUGUUGGUUUUUAUGACAUCCGGGAAGAUCAGCAGCACGCGUUCUAUCUUUUUUAUUCGCUCCCAAUUAACAUGGAAGCUUAAGCUGAUUUGUCAUAUUAAUCAAAAAAUACAAUAUCAAACAAGGACUUAACAUUUCAUAUUAUUAUACAGGGGGCUACAAACUUCACGUCGAAACAAUUCAUCUUCAAAAGCAAUAUUGCUAUUUGACAUUUAUUUGUUGACAUUGCGCACUUUUAUAUGCGCAAAUGUUAAAUUGCAAUGUUGCUUUUUUAAAUGAGUUGCUUUCAUGUGGCCUUUUUAACUCCCCAAAUAGGUAACUAAUAUAAUUAAUUAUAUUUAAGAAUCGAAACUUAUCUCUUUUAAUGUUUACUUACCGUAAGUGCCGAUAAAACUGAAAAUGCAUUUGUAAUAAUAAUACAUGGUGUUAGUGACACCGUAACGAAUACUGAGGGGUAUAAUUCAGACCACGAUUCAGUCGCAAUUGUAUAUUUUUUCGAUGGAAAAUUCCAUAUAAUCAUAAUCAUAAACUGCCUAUAUACGUCCCACUGCUGGGUACAGGCCUCCCCUCAAUCAACCGGAGGAGCAUACUCCACCACGCUGCUCCACUGCGGGUUGGUGGAGGUGUUUUUACGGCUAAUAGCCGGGACCAACGGCUUAACGUGCCCUCCGAAGCACGGAAUCAUCUUACUUUUUCGGACAAUCAGGUGAUUCAAGCCUGUAAUGUCCUUACCAAACAAAGGACAGUCUCACAAAGUGAUUUCGACAAUGUCCCCAUCGGGAAUCGAACCCGGCCCUCCAGAUCGUGAGCCUAACGCUCUAACCACUAGACCACAGAGGCUGUUAUGCAGAUGGGAUGCGGUAAUAACGAGAUUUUUGUAUGGAGUGUGGCUUAAGUAUACUUUGUUUAAGGUUUCUCUUCGACCAAAUUGUCUACACCUCUGUGUAUUUAAUUUUAAUUAUGCUAAAUUUCUGUUCUUUUAUAAAUUUUCUUUUCGCAGUCGAAAUUUUGUCAAACAUUAAGCUAAGCUUGUUUCACGAAUCUGUGUCCACAAUCUAAUACUGUCUAUAUCUAUAAAAUAUUGUAACACUAAGAUGGUAGCUGAUGCCUAUAGCACAGGCUUGAGUCU
rnacentral:misc_RNA from 1 species